rnacentral:rRNA from 1 species
AACGCGAAGAACCUUACCUGGGCUUGACAUGUUAGUGGUAAGGACCCGAAAGGGCGAUGAUUCCCGCAAGGGAAAGCUAACACAGGUGCUGCAUGGCUGUCGUCAGCUCGUGCCGUGAGGUGUUGGGUUAAGUCCCGCAACGAGCGCAACCCUUAUCCUCUGUUGCUCCGAGCAAUCGGAGCUCUCUGAGGAAACUGCCGGCGAUGAGCUGGAGGAAGGCGGGGAUGACGUCAAGUCAUCAUGGCCCUUAUGUCCAGGGCAACACACGUGCUACAAUGGCUUCUACAGAGGGAAGCGAGACCGUAAGGUGGAGCCAAUCCCUAAAAGAAGUCGUAGUUGGGAUCGGAGUCUGCAACUCGACUCCGUGAACGUGGAAUCGCUAGUAAUCGUGGAUCAGCACGCCACGGUGAAUACGUUCCCGGGUCUUGUACACACGC